UACAGAGGGUGCGAGCGUUAAUCGGAAUUAUUGGGCGUAAAGGGCGCGUAGGUGGCUCUAUAAGUUAAGUGUGAAAUCCCAUGGCUCAACCAUGGAAUUGCACUUGAUACUGUGGAGCUAGAGUAUGGUAGAGGGAAGUGGAAUUUCCGGAGUAGCGGUGAAAUGCGUAGAUACCGGAAGGAACACCAGUGGCGAAGGCGGCUUCCUGGACCAAUACUGACACUGAGGCGCGAUAGCGUGGGGAGCAAACAGG
rnacentral:rRNA from 1 species